GACGAACGCUGGCGGCGUGCUUAACACAUGCAAGUCGAGCGGAAAGGCCUCUUUUUGGGGUACUCGAGCGGCGAACGGGUGAGUAACACGUGAGUAAUCUGCCCUUCACUUCGGGAUAGCUCCGGGAAACCGGGAUUAAUACCGGAUGGGACACAUCACCGCAUGGUGUGUGUGUGGAAAGUUUUUUCGGUGGGGGAUGUGCUCGCGGCCUAUCAGCUUGUUGGUGGGGUAAUGGCCUACCAAGGCUUCGACGGGUAGCCGGCCUGAGAGGGUGACCGGUCACACUGGGACUGAGACACGGCCCAGACUCCUACGGGAGGCAGCAGUGGGGAAUAUUGGACAAUGGGCGGAAGCCUGAUCCAGCAACGCCGCGUGAGGGAUGACGGCCUUCGGGUUGUAAACCUCUUUCAGUGCCGACGAAGCCCUUUUGGGGUGACGGUAGGUGCAGAAGAAGGACCGGCCAACUACGUGCCAGCCGCCGCCGUAACAC
rnacentral:rRNA from 1 species